UGUUGUCAACACGUGUGCAGGCUUUGUGGGGGCCUUUUUUCUGUUGCUAGUCAAGGAGUAGCUCUUGGUGUUUGUCCCAUGCUUGCUACAGGUUCUUAAUAUGCCUAUUUGAUGAAAUAAAAUGCCUUUCUUACAUGUUUUCUUCUACUUACGGAUGUGGUAACGUCUUCUGAAUUCCACCCUACUCAGUGGCACUUGAACUUAUAUUAGGAGUAAAUAAAUAUUCAACAACUAUUGGCAGGUGGUCAUUGGGCUGUAGAAUGGCUGAACUGCAAAGGAACAAUUAUUCAAUGGGAAAACUGAAUUCGACCAGCUUGACAAGAUAUUUAGGACUCUCGGCACACCAAGUGAGAAGAUAUGGCUGGAAUUUGUCAAAUUGUCGGGUGUCAAGGUCAA